rnacentral:rRNA from 1 species
UGCUGGGUGGAUUAGUGGCGAACGGGUGAGUAACACGUGGGUGAUCUGCCCUGCACUCUGGGAUAAGCCUGGGAAACUGGGUCUAAUACCGGAUAGGACCUUCGGCCGCAUGGCUGGGGGUGGAAAGUUUUUCGGUGCAGGAUGAGCCCGCGGCCUAUCAGCUUGUUGGUGGGGUAAUGGCCUACCAAGGCGACGACGGGUAGCCGGCCUGAGAGGGCGACCGGCCACACUGGGACUGAGACACGGCCCAGACUCCUACGGGAGGCAGCAGUGGGGAAUAUUGCACAAUGGGCGCAAGCCUGAUGCAGCGACGCCGCGUGAGGGAUGACGGCCUUCGGGUUGUAAACCUCUUUCACCCAUGACGAAGCGCAAGUGACGGUAGUGGGAGAAGAAGCACCGGCCAACUACGUGCCAGCAGCCGCGGUAAUACGUAGGGUGCGAGCGUUGUCCGGAAUUACUGGGCGUAAAGAGCUCGUAGGCGGUUUGUCGCGUCGUCUGUGAAAACCCGCAGCUCAACUGCGGGCUUGCAGGCGAUACGGGCAGACUCGAGUACUGCAGGGGAGACUGGAAUUC